rnacentral:piRNA from 1 species
UCCCAGUCUUUAGUCUUCGUGGAAAUGCA